CCACAGCAACCAUGAGCUUUACCAACUCGACCACGCCGAACCCUGAAUUUGUUUUUAUUACGACGAUUUUUCAAUAGAUUCUCAACUGUUGGUUGAACCUACCUGUAUGCCCUGGUUGUUUAGCUCUGUUAUCUGGGACUUGAGGUCACCCAGAGAUUUGAUGUCUUUACCCAGCGACAAGACGGCCACCUUCUUGGAGUUCUCCCUGCCACCGUGUUCCGCUGUGUAGGCUUUUGUUCCCAGAUACUG